rnacentral:rRNA from 1 species
UACGUAGGGUGCAAGCGUUGUCCGGAGUUACUGGGCGUAAAGCGCGGGCAGGCGGUCUUGCCAGUCUGAUGUGAAAUCUCUCAGCUCAACUGGGAGCAGCCAUUGGAAACUACAAGACUGGAGUCUGACAGAGGUAGGCGGAAUUCCGGGUGGAGUGGUGAAAUGCGUAGAGAUCCGGAGGAACACCAGAGGCGAAGGCGGCCUACUGGGUCAGUACUGACGCUGAGCCGCGAAAGCCAGGGGAGCGAACGGG